rnacentral:rRNA from 1 species
CACACCGCCCGUCACAUCACGAAAGUGGGUUGUACUAGAAGUCCGCAGGCUGACCGCAAGGGGGGCGGUUGCCACGGUGAGAUUCAUGACUGGGGUG